AGGCGAACCGGGGGAACUGAAACAUCUAAGUACCCCGAGGAAAAGAAAUCAACCGAGAUUCCCCCAGUAGCGGCGAGCGAACGGGGAGCAGCCCAGAGCCUGAAUCAGUGUGUGUGUUAGUGGAAGCGUCUGGAAAGGCGCGCGAUACAGGGUGACAGCCCCGUACACAAAAAUGCACAUAUUGUGAGCUCGAUGAGUAGGGCGGGACACGUGGUAUCCUGUCUGAAUAUGGGGGGACCAUCCUCCAAGGCUAAAUACUCCUGACUGACCGAUAGUGAACCAGUACCGUGAGGGAAAGGCGAAAAGAACCCCGGCGAGGGGAGUGAAAAAGAACCUGAAACCGUGUACGUACAAGCAGUGGGAGCCUCUUUUAUGGGGUGACUGCGUACCUUUUGUAUAAUGGGUCAGCGACUUAUAUUCUGUAGCAAGGUUAACCGAAUAGGGGAGCCGAAGGGAAACCGAGUCUUAACUGGGCGUUAAGUUGCAGGGUAUAGACCCGAAACCCGGUGAUCUAGCCAUGGGCAGGUUGAAGGUUGGGUAACACUAACUGGAGGACCGAACCGACUAAUGUUGAAAAAUUAGCGGAUGACUUGUGGCUGGGGGUGAAAGGCCAAUCAAACCGGGAGAUAGCUGGUUCUCCCCGAAAGCUAUUUAGGUAGCGCCUCGUGAAUUCAUCUCCGGGGGUAGAGCACUGUUUCGGCAAGGGGGUCAUCCCGACUUACCAACCCGAUGCAAACUGCGAAUACCGGAGAAUGUUAUCACGGGAGACACACGGCGGGUGCUAACGUCCGUCGUGAAGAGGGAAACAACCCAGACCGCCAGCUAAGGUCCCAAAGUCAUGGUUAAGUGGGAAACGAUGUGGGAAGGCCCAGACAGCCAGGAUGUUGGCUUAGAAGCAGCCAUCAUUUAAAGAAAGCGUAAUAGCUCACUGGUCGAGUCGGCCUGCGCGGAAGAUGUAACGGGGCUAAACCAUGCACCGAAGCUGCGGCAGCGACGCUUAUGCGUUGUUGGGUAGGGGAGCGUUCUGUAAGCCUGUGAAGGUGUGCUGUGAGGCAUGCUGGAGGUAUCAGAAGUGCGAAUGCUGACAUAAGUAACGAUAAAGCGGGUGAAAAGCCCGCUCGCCGGAAGACCAAGGGUUCCUGUCCAACGUUAAUCGGGGCAGGGUGAGUCGACCCCUAAGGCGAGGCCGAAAGGCGUAGUCGAUGGGAAACAGGUUAAUAUUCCUGUACUUGGUGUUACUGCGAAGGGGGGACGGAGAAGGCUAUGUUGGCCGGGCGACGGUUGUCCCGGUUUAAGCGUGUAGGCUGGUUUUCCAGGCAAAUCCGGAAAAUCAAGGCUGAGGCGUGAUGACGAGGCACUACGGUGCUGAAGCAACAAAUGCCCUGCUUCCAGGAAAAGCCUCUAAGCAUCAGGUAACAUCAAAUCGUACCCCAAACCGACACAGGUGGUCAGGUAGAGAAUACCAAGGCGCUUGAGAGAACUCGGGUGAAGGAACUAGGCAAAAUGGUGCCGUAACUUCGGGAGAAGGCACGCUGAUAUGUAGGUGAAGUCCCUCGCGGAUGGAGCUGAAAUCAGUCGAAGAUACCAGCUGGCUGCAACUGUUUAUUAAAAACACAGCACUGUGCAAACACGAAAGUGGACGUAUACGGUGUGACGCCUGCCCGGUGCCGGAAGGUUAAUUGAUGGGGUUAGCGCAAGCGAAGCUCUUGAUCGAAGCCCCGGUAAACGGCGGCCGUAACUAUAACGGUCCUAAGGUAGCGAAAUUCCUUGUCGGGUAAGUUCCGACCUGCACGAAUGGCGUAAUGAUGGCCAGGCUGUCUCCACCCGAGACUCAGUGAAAUUGAACUCGCUGUGAAGAUGCAGUGUACCCGCGGCAAGACGGAAAGACCCCGUGAACCUUUACUAUAGCUUGACACUGAACAUUGAGCCUUGAUGUGUAGGAUAGGUGGGAGGCUUAGAAGUGUGGACGCCAGUCUGCAUGGAGCCGACCUUGAAAUACCACCCUUUAAUGUUUGAUGUUCUAACGUGGACCCGUAAUCCGGGUUGCGGACAGUGUCUGGUGGGUAGUUUGACUGGGGCGGUCUCCUCCUAAAGAGUAACGGAGGAGCACGAAGGUUGGCUAAUCCUGGUCGGACAUCAGGAGGUUAGUGCAAUGGCAUAAGCCAGCUUGACUGCGAGCGUGACGGCGCGAGCAGGUGCGAAAGCAGGUCAUAGUGAUCCGGUGGUUCUGAAUGGAAGGGCCAUCGCUCAACGGAUAAAAGGUACUCCGGGGAUAACAGGCUGAUACCGCCCAAGAGUUCAUAUCGACGGCGGUGUUUGGCACCUCGAUGUCGGCUCAUCACAUCCUGGGGCUGAAGUAGGUCCCAAGGGUAUGGCUGUUCGCCAUUUAAAGUGGUACGCGAGCUGGGUUUAGAACGUCGUGAGACAGUUCGGUCCCUAUCUGCCGUGGGCGCUGGAGAACUGAGGGGGGCUGCUCCUAGUACGAGAGGACCGGAGUGGACGCAUCACUGGUGUUCGGGUUGUCAUGCCAAUGGCACUGCCCGGUAGCUAAAUGCGGAAGAGAUAAGUGCUGAAAGCAUCUAAGCACGAAACUUGCCCCGAGAUGAGUUCUCCCU
rnacentral:rRNA from 1 species